UAAAAUAUUUACUUGCCGUGUGGGUGAAGUGUAUAAACAAUGAGUUACGUGGUAUACGUAACCCUAAAAUGUGUAUUUUGCAGGCUGAGAAUAUAGUGGUAGGUAUUCUAUUUCAGGCAGAACACACUGUAUAUAUUAUAAUUCUUAAGAUAAAUUCUUAAACUAAUUAAUCGCUCACGCCUUCCAAGUAAAAUCCCAGACAGUGGCGC